rnacentral:misc_RNA from 1 species
AUUGAUUGUAAUGUAAUGUAAUGAUAUGUUACACACAACCUAACCCUAAACGAGAUGUUGUUGGAUGAUGACAUGAUGAUGAUGAUGGAUGACAUCACCAUGAUGUCAUGUCCACCAAACAAGCUAUUUUUUUAUUUUUUAUUUUAUUUUUUUAUGA